GCUAAAUCAAAUCAGUUAAUUUUGAGGAGCACCCACUUAAGAUUUAGAUGUACUUUACCUAAUCUACUUUAGAGAUGCAUCAGAAAAACCUCCCUGUAUGUCUUUAUUAGUGAGGAGUUCACGUCUGUUUUGAUGCGCGCUGUGUCUUCAGCUGGAAGGUGAUGGAAAGUGCUGAAUGUGCUAAUUUCUUCCACCUUGCAGAAUAACUUGGUGCUCCAGGUGCAGUAAAGAUACCGUAUAGCUCUGUGUUCAGUCGUGGCAAGAAGCGCAUUUUGCUGAGGUCUGAAUUGGAUAACGACAAGAUUAUUUUUAACCAACUGAGGAUUGAUUGGAUCUGAACCAAAAUGUCGUAGAAAUAAAUUAAUAGUAAGUGCUUCGCACUCUCUGUGUAACGGAUAAGGUCCUAAAAAAUAGUAUUUUCAAAUCCAGAGCUAACUCUAUCUUCAGCAUGCCUGCAUUGUAAGGUAAUUAUUCUGUUGGAGUUCUAAGUCAUUAUUUACCUGUUGCCUGAGGAAUUUUACAGUAGAACAGCAUUAGUAAGAUGUCGGGAGUAUGAAUUUUGUAGCUUAAUGUCUAUGUUGUAAACAAAAAUCGUAUAAAUGGAGUGGGGUUUUCAUUCAUAAUUACUUCACCUACAGCAAACAUGGGCCAGGAAUUAAGGGAUGGUAUGUGGGGAAUCGGAGGUUUGAAUUCUAAGGAGAAAGAAAGAGCAGCGUGUGCUGAGAAAGCCUUGAAAAUGCCAUACCUUUGAGAAAAGCAGGUUUCUAAUUCUUCCAUGCUGUAAAUCUCUGCUGAGUAGCAUUUAGACUUUAUUGACAAGAGGAAAUGGUUUUAAGUUGAAGGAGAAAAGAUUGAGGUUGGAUGUCAGGGGGAAGCUCUUUACUAUGAGAGUGGUGAGGUGCUGAAACAGCUGCCCAGAGAGGCUGUGGAUGCCCCGUCCAUCCCUGGAGGUGUUGAAGGCCAGGUUGGAUGGGGCCCUGGGCAGCCUGGGCUGGUAUGAAAUGUGGAGUUUGGUGGCCCUGCCUGUGGCAGAGGGGUUGGAGAUUCGUGAUCCUUGAGGUCCCUUCCAACCCAGGCCAUUCCGUGUGUGAUUCUGUGAUCGUUGAUAAUGACAAUUCCCUGUGCUUUCAUGCUGAAAAAAAUCACGUACUGAUUGAUUGGGUCCACCAGACCUUCAUUUCACCACCUCCACGUGCACAAAAGAAUAACAGCCAAAUCCAGUAGAUUAAAUUUAAUAACGCAACGAGUUUGAACCUUGUUUUUGCUAUCUGAAGUUCAACCAUUUGAUGACAGGCAAUCACGAGGACUGGAUUUGUUUUUAAAAUGAAAAUUAAGUACAUAGUCAGCCAAAGGACGGAUAACUUUCUGAUUGUUUCAAGUUUUUGAAGUCUUAAAGUUGUUUAUCAGUAAUUGGCAUGUGGGAUCUGGAACGAAUGAGAUGAACUCAGACACAGUCGCAGUUUGGGGCAGUUUUAUGACUGACAACAGGAACCUCCUUUGCCCACAAGGAUAGCUUUUAGCUCCGGUAAUUUGAAAGGUUUCAAGGCUAAUGAAACUCUUGCUUGCUGUAAACAAAUAUUCGCCUCUUUUUCCCUCAAAUCUUGUUUACGUGUAACCUUCAGCUAGCCUCAAAAUGUCAAUAAAUUGCUUCUAGAUUGGCUUCUACUACAGUCCAGUAAAAGCUCCAUGUAAAACUGUACCCAUGAAAAAUGGUUCAUCACUGGCCAAAUAAUUCUCGUAUAUGCUAAAUGAACAGGAUAAGGCUUUGCUGUUCUGAAAACUUGUGACAAUGACCCAAUAGAAUUACGACUUAAUAAGUUAAAUCCUAUAUCAAAUUCUGAUAUCUUGCAGUGCUCGUGCAGUGCUUCGCUGUAAGGUGUGCACUGAGAUUAUAGAUGGCAAUGAGCACAUCUUGUGUGUUGAAAAAAUAAAGAUAGGUGUUCUCUGUUGCCCUAUUACGUCUCGAGGAGUGAGACAAAAAUGGAAGAAGUAACUAGCACCCCAAGUAUCAUGAUGUUGUAGCAUCAUUAGCAGCUUGUAUCUUAUAGCAUUUCCUAAAAUCAAUAUGGCUGGCCUGGCAAAAUUGUCUAAGGAGGGCUGGGUGGAAACAUGAGGCAGAAGGUGCUCGGGGACUUGUGUGCACCAGCUGCUCAGUCAGGGUUCGUGAGAUACAGGCAGUGCCUCUUGUGCAAAGGUAAAACUCACAAGUGCCAGAAUACCAGACCUCAGGGAUGAAACCCAUGUGUGCUUUGGCUCAUGUUUGAGUACAUGUUAAUUCCUUGUGAGAAUCUUUGUUUACAGAAGGAGCUUUCUUUAUAUCCUUGCACUCUGGUCCGAUGGCCUCGUUGCCCCUCUCCCCCUCAGCAGUGUCUAGCCAAUGAUCUCAGCCGUGGCCUGCAAGGUUCACCCUGUCUGCACGAGGGAUCGUAAUUCAGCCUCCUGCUCACUCCUCCAAGCCUCUACUGCAUGCAGAGCGCCCGUGGUGACGGUAUGUGCCAGCUAUUCUUAGCAGCUUUGGGCUGCAGAGUGAGCUGUUUGCUUCAAACUCAUUUACGUAAGGCUUGGGCUAAUUAGAGCCCACAAAGUGACUUACAGUCCUCACCCUUCAGAGUGAGAUCUUUCACCUGCUACAAUGUGCAGCAGUGGCAAAGAGUGAGGAUCAUGAUUUACUCCAUCCAGCUAGCAAGAGAUGACAGCAAACUUUCAAACAUGGCUAAGUAUGCAACAGCAGUAGUAAUUACCUGGAAUAUGUCAGUAGGUGAACUGAUGAUUGACCUUGGCUGUAUGUGCUGUGCCACUUGGUCAAGAGCUGGUAAGUAACAAAUGUGUUGUGUCUGAAUUACAGUAGACUGUAACAGAAUGGCAUUCUUAACUUCACAGAAUUGCAAGGGUUGGAAGAGACCUCUAGAGGUCAUUGAGUCCAACCCUGUGCUAAAGCAGGUUGCACAGGAGGGCAUCCAGAUGGGUCCUGAAUAUCUCCACAGUAGGAGACUCCACCACCUGUCUGGGCAUCCCGUUCCAGUGCUCCGUCACUUUCACUGUAAAGAAGUUGUUCCUUGUGUUUGUGUGGAGCUUCCUGUGUUCCAGUUUGUGCCCAUUACCCCUUGCUCUGUUGCUGCGUGCCACUGAAAAGAGUCUGCCCCUGUUUGCUUGGCUCCCCU
ensembl:lncRNA